rnacentral:rRNA from 1 species
UUCUCUUGAGAGCGGCGGACGGGUGAGUAAUGCCUAGGAAUCUGCCUGGUAGUGGGGGAUAACGUUCGGAAACGAACGCUAAUACCGCAUACGUCCUACGGGAGAAAGCAGGGGACCUUCGGGCCUUGCGCUAUCAGAUGAGCCUAGGUCGGAUUACCUAGUUGGUGAGGUAAUGGCUCACCAAGGCGACGAUCCGUAACUGGUCUGAGAGGAUGAUCAGUCACACUGGAACUGAGACACGGUCCAGACUCCUACGGGAGGCAGCAGUGGGGAAUAUUGGACAAUGGGCGAAAGCCUGAUCCAGCCAUGCCGCGUGUGUGAAGAAGGUCUUCGGAUUGUAAAGCACUUUAAGUUGGGAGGAAGGGCAUUAACCUAAUACGUUAGUGUUUUGACGUUACCGACAGAAUAAGCACCGGCUAACUCUGUGCCAGCAGCCGCGGUAAUACAGAGGGUGCAAGCGUUAAUCGGAAUUACUGGGCGUAAAGCGCGCGUAGGUGGUUUGUUAAGUUGGAUGUGAAAUCCCCGGGCUCAACCUGGGAACUGCAUUCAAAACUGACUGACUAGAGUAUGGUAGAGGGUGGUGGAAUUUCCUGUGUAGCGGUGAAAUGCGUAGAUAUAGGAAGGAACACCAGUGGCGAAGGCGACCACCUGGACUAAUACUGACACUGAGGUGCGAAAGCGUGGGGAGCAAACAGGAUUAGAUACCCUGGUAGUCCACGCCGUAAACGAUGUCAACUACCCGUUGGAAGCCUUGAGCUUUUAGUGCGCAGCUAACGCAUUAAGUUGACCGCCUGGGGAGUAC